UAAAGUCCCAUGAAUUCGGGUUCGUGGGUCGGGUCUGCGACCCGAUUCAAAAAAACCCUAAAAAACUUAUAAAAAAAACUAAAACUAUUCUUUUCUGCCUAAUAACUAUGAUAAAUAAUAAUAACUAGGAGUAAUCAAUACUCAUCCACCCAAUAAUUAAGGAUUUAUUCAACUUCCCAAAAUAAAUCAUGAUUAGUGUAACUUCCCAAAAUACAUUUAUUCAUUUCAAUUCAUUCACAUUAAACUAUUUUCAC
rnacentral:lncRNA from 1 species